rnacentral:rRNA from 1 species
GUAGGUGGCAAGCGUUGUCCGGAAUUAUUGGGCGUAAAGCGCGCGCGGGCGGUUCUUUAAGUCUGAUGUGAAAGCCCACGGCUCAACCGUGGAGGGUCAUUGGAAACUGGAGAACUUGAGUACAGAAGAGGAAAGCGGAAUUCCACGUGUAGCGGUGAAAUGCGUAGAGAUGUGGAGGAACACCAGUGGCGAAGGCGGCUUUCUGGUCUGUAACUGACGCUGAGGCGCGAAAGCGUGGGGAGCAAACAGGAUUAGAUACCCUGGUAGUCCACGCCGUAAACGAUGAGUGCUAAGUGUUAGGGGGGUUUCCGCCCCCCUUAGUGCUGCAGCUAACGCAUUAAGCACUCCGCCUGGGAGUACGGCCGCAAGGCUG